rnacentral:pre_miRNA from 1 species
UGUGUGUGUGUGUGUGUGUGUGUGUGUGUGUGAGUAUGUGAUUCUGCCUCUCUGUCCCUUUUUCUCUCUCAGACACACACAUAAACACACACACACACACACACA